rnacentral:rRNA from 1 species
GACGAACGCUGGCGGCGUGCUUAACACAUGCAGGUCGAACGAAGAGAGAUGGAAGCUUGCUUCUAUGGAUCUUAGUGGCGAACGGGUGAGUAACGCGUAAUCAACCUGCCCUUCAGAGGGGGACAACAGUUGGAAACGACUGCUAAUACCGCAUACGAUCUAAUUUCGGCAUCGAGAUUAGAUGAAAGGUGGCCUCUAUUUAUAAGCUAUCACUGAAGGAGGGGAUUGCGUCUGAUUAGCUAGUUGGAGGGGUAACGGCCCACCAAGGCGAUGAUCAGUAGCCGGUCUGAGAGGAUGAACGGCCACAUUGGGACUGAGACACGGCCCAGACUCCUACGGGAGGCAGCAGUGGGGAAUCUUCCGCAAUGGACGAAAGUCUGACGGAGCAACGCCGCGUGAGUGAUGACGGCCUUCGGGUUGUAAAGCUCUGUUAAUCGGGACGAAUGGUUCUUGUGCAAAUAGUGCGAG